AUGAAGAGUUGCCACUGAUUAAACACGGAUAGACGGAGCACGUUCCAGCCUCAUUUAUCCGCAGUGGUGACUCCUAAACAGGAUUUACUGUGAGGAUGAAAACACUUUCCUGCGGGACUGCGAGGACGAUGGAGAAACCGCAGUGGGGGGCCGACUGCUCCAUCUUUUGCAGAUCCUGGAUGUGCGUAACGUGCUGGUGGUGGUCUCUCGAUGGUACGGCGGGAUCCCGCUGGGCCCCGACCGCUUCCAUCACAUCAACAGCUGCGGCAGAAACAUCCUCAUUCAGGAGGUUACACCGACACUUCAGUAAGAACUGUUUGUCCAAAACUGUUUAUAUAUAAUAUAUUCAGUGAAGACCUGUGACCUGUGUACUUCAUGAUGCUUAGGUUUGGUAAAAGUUGUUGAAUGUCUGCAUUUGUUCUGCUGAUGUGGACAAAACUCUUUUUUAUGUGCACUUUUAAAUAUGUAUUACAUGCAUCUAAAUAAAUGUUACUUUAAAAAUGUAUAAUUAAU
ensembl:lncRNA